UAAGACGAGGGAUCCUAGCGUUGUUCGGAAUUAUUGGGCGUAAAGCGGAUGUAGGUGGCUUUGUAAGUCAGAUGUGAAAGCCCAGGGCUCAACCCUGGAAGUGCAUUUGAUACUGCGAAGCUUGAGUGUCGGAGAGGUUACUAGAAUUGUUGGUGUAGUGGUGAAAUACGUAGAUAUCAACAGGAAUACCGGAGGCGAAGGCGGGUAACUGGCCGAACACUGACACUGAGAUCCGAAAGCGUGGGGAUCAAACAGGAUUAGAUACCCUGGUAGUCCACGCCGUAAACGAUGGAUACUUGUUGUUGGAGGUAUUGACCCCUUCAGUGACGAAGCUAACGCGUUAAGUAUCCCGCCUGGGGAGUACGGUCGCAAGAUUAAAACUCAAAGAAAUUGACGGGGGCCCGCACAAGCGGUGGAGCAUGUGGUUAAUCGAUGCAUCGC
rnacentral:rRNA from 1 species